ensembl:snoRNA small nucleolar RNA SNORA36 family
GGCCAAAGUGUUGAGUUCAGCUCUGGGCAUCUUCCCCAGUCCUGGUAAUUAAACUUUGGUAAAUGAAAGCAGCCAGGUGUUGAGUGUCAUGCGGAUCGGUCUUGGUCGCCUGUCCGGUCAACUCUGGCUGACAGAU